rnacentral:rRNA from 1 species
AAAGAAACUAACAAGGAUAUUCUUAGUAGCGGCGAGCGAAAAGAAAACAGUUCAGCACUAAGUCACUUUGUCUAUAUGGCAAAUGUGAGAUGCAGUGUAUGGAACAUCAAUAUUCUAGUAUGAAAAGUUAACGAUUUAAGUCCUUCUUAAAUGAGGCCAUUUACCCAUAGAGGGUGCCAGGCCCGUAUAGCGUUAAUGAUUACUAGAUGGUGUUUCCAAAGAGUCGUGUUGCUUGAUAGUGCAGCACUAAGUGGGUGGUAAACUCCAUCUAAAACUAAAUAUAACCAUGAGACCGAUAGUAAACAAGUACCGUGAGGGAAAGUUGAAAAGAACUCUGAAUAGAGAGUUAAAUAGUACGUGAAACUGCUUAGAGGUUAAGCCCGAUGAACCUGAAUAUCCAUUAUAGAAAAUUCAUCAUUAGAAUUGUAAUAUAUAUAAUAUUAUAAUAAUAGUGUGCAUUUUUUCUAUAUAAGGACAUUGUAAUCUAUUAGCAAAUAUUUAUCAAAAAAUUGUGAAUUAUUGUUUAUUUAAAUUAUUAUGCUUGCAUUUUAACAUAAAAUAAAUUUUGUAAAUUUGAUAAAGUGCUGAUAGAUUAAUAAUAAUACGGUGUGUUAAUUUUUCGAAAUUAUAUAAUGGCAUGAUUUUCAUUGAUUUUCAUGUUUAUUAUAAGCACUUGUAUGAUUAACAAUGCGAAAGAUUCAGGAUACCUUCGGGACCCGUCUUGAAACACGGACCAAGGAGUCUAACAUAUGUGCAAGUUAUUGGGAUAUAAACCUAAUGGCGUAAUUAACUUGACUAUUAAUGGGAUUAGUUUUUUAACUGUUAUAGUUAAUUAACACAAUCCCGGGGCG